AAAAAAUAUUCCCAGGGCCCUUCAUUCCCUUCCUUUCCCCUGUCAAGAUAUUACUUAAUUUAAAUGCUGCCAAAGUUAAUAAUGAAAGACGACAUCCUCUGGUGUGUCAGAGCUCAGUGCCCAAGAAGAAAAGCAAGAGUGCCUUUCUGCACUCCUGUCUUUGCUAAAUUCAACCUGGAAAAAAACUAGAGCAGAUUCAGGGAUACUGUAAUUAGCAGGAUUUAAAAUGAUCUCUGCAGGUCACUUUUCUUGGCCCAGAAUUGCCCAAGAACUCGACACCUGAAGUGGAUAUCUGAGGUGCCUGUGCCAUCAGAGGGUGCCCACAGUGUAUGUGCCACCCACAGGAAAACAAACUGCCCUGGAACAUCGGCUUUCCCUUACAGGAAUGAUGGAAAGUGGGAAGAGCACAGUUCAAAGAUUCAUUCCAGGAUUUUUGCUAGUACCUACUUUCUCUUUUUCACAUCAAGAACACCGAGCAGCACCAAAGAGAAGAAACUGCAUCAUCUAACUGCUGGAAGAGAUGAAACUCUGUGCAACCCUUCAUGUCAAAUAAUAAAGGGUAAUUAAAAGUUGUGUUUUUCCCCCUGCUGAGGAGAGGGGCUUGACCAAAGCCAUUUGGGGCAUGGAACACCAAACCCAAGCUGACUGUUGGUGUCAGUAGUGUGGGUGGCACCUGUGAACCAAGUUCUCCAUAACCAAAGGAGUUAUAGCCUGUUUUAAAUAUUUACCUCCUGAAAACAGUCAGGUCAAACAGAAAAUUAAGAUCUAAAAAUUAUAUUUAUUCAAUUUAUUUAAUUAUUAAAUUUAAAAUUAAAUUUUAUAAAGAUCAAACAGAAAUUAACACACUGGCUGAGAAUGAGACUUUCCCAGUGAGACAGCGCAAGACUAUUUAAAAAACUGCCCUAAAGAGCAGAGUCAUCAGCGUUCCUGGUAGUGCAGCUGUGUAUCUUUGAAAAUCAGGCACCCUUUAAGCACAUUUUCAUCAUAAUAUAACCAAUAUACAUUUUAUUAUAUUUCCUUUCCCUGUUCUACUUCUGGUUUAACCAUGUGUGAACCAAGCUAACAUGAUUAGACACCUUGUUUUUCACCAGUCAUUUCUGUUUGCAGUCUUCCAUAAAGUGCUUCAAAUGAAUUUUAAUAUGUUGAUGGUACUUACUGGAGAGAUUAAUAUUCAUAAUAAAUACCCCUUAGAAAUAAUCUUCA
rnacentral:lncRNA from 1 species